GACGAACGCUGGCGGCGUGCUUAACACAUGCAAGUCGAACGGAAAGGCCCUGCUUUUUUGUGGUUCUCGAGUGGCGAACGGGUGAGUAACACGUGAGUAACCUGCCCUUUACUUUGGGAUAACUUCAGGAAACUGGGGCUAAUACCUGAUAGGAGCUCCUGCUGCAUGGUGGGGUUUGGAAAGUUUCGGCUGUGGGGGAUGGACUCGCGGCUUAUCAGCUUGUUGGUGGGGUAGUGGCCUACCAAGGCUUUGACGGGUAGCCGGCCUGAGAGGGUGAACGGCCACAUUGGGACUGAGAUACGGACCAGAGUCGUACGGGAGGCAGCAGUGGGGAAUAUUGCACAAUGGGCGGAAGCCUGAUGCAGCAACGCCGCGUGCGGGAUGACGGCCUUCGGGUUGUAAACCGCAUUCGCCUGUGACGAAGCGUGAGUGACGGUAAUGGGUAAAGAAGCACCGGCUAACUACGUG
rnacentral:rRNA from 1 species